rnacentral:rRNA from 1 species
AUGGAACAAUGUAGGCAAGGGAAGUCGGCAAAACGGAUCCGUAACUUCGGGAAAAGGAUUGGCUCUGAGGACUGGGCUCGGGGGUCCCGGCCCCGAACCCGUCGGCUGUCGGCGGAUUGCUCGAGCUGCUCACGCGGCGAGAGCGGGUCGCCGCGUGCCGGCCGGGGGACGGACCGGGAAUAGCCCCUUCGGGGGCUUUCCCCGAGCAUGAAACAGUCGACUCAGAACUGGUACGGACAAGGGGAAUCCGACUGUUUAAUUAAAACAAAGCAUUGCGAUGGUCCUCGCGGAUGCUGA